CUAGCCGUAAACGAUGGACACUAGGUGUCGGGGGUGUCGACUCCCCCGGUGCCGAAGCUAACGCAUUAAGUGUCCCGCCUGGGGAGUACGGCCGCAAGGCUAAAACUCAAAGGAAUUGACGGGGGCCCGCACAAGCAGUGGAGCAUGUGGUUUAAUUCGACGCAACGCGAAGAACCUUACCUGGGCUUGACAUGUACGUGGUAGGAAUCGGAAACGUGACCGACCCCUCGGGGAGCGUACACAGGUGG
rnacentral:rRNA from 1 species